rnacentral:misc_RNA from 1 species
AGUGACGACAGUCACUGUCCAUUUGUUGAAGGUGACUACGAUAUCUGUCCAACUGUUACAUCAAAAGAACUGCAAAUUACAAGGAGAGGGAAAACUCCAGAGGAUCCCAGGACUUAAAGAGAAGCAAUAGAUGACGGAUCAUUUUUGUUUGUUUUUCUGUGUUUUGAACUUGUAACAAUGUAAUCUCAAUAUUGUGCACACUGCUGCACAAGCGGAUGAAUCCCAUCCCGGUGAAACGCUCCAUUGUGGGUUUAUUUUAUGAAUGGAUUGUGGGUUUAUUUUAUGAAUGGGUAGUAAAUCUGUCGCUGAGUGUGUUUGAAUGAGGUUUGGUGAGUACGGACUCAAAUGAAGUUACAUGAAUGUAUUUUACUGUGAUAAUUCACUUGUUAUAUUAUAAAUGAAAGAAUGAAUGAAUAAGAUUGAACUUGUUUAGUAAAAAUGUGAGAACUUGACAUAAUUGUAUUGAUGUAUGAUACCUGUUUAAACAUGUAUAACUUUUUAUGUACUGGACCCUUUAUUCGGGACCCAUAACUUACUCUGCUCGAGUACCGUGUACAUUGUGCCAUAAGAAGCCGGGGACGGACGGCUGCUGCAGUUCCGUGCUCCGUGUCAUACCCUGCUUGUUUUGUUUAAGUUGCAUUCUCAGGAGUGUGCGCCACUGAAUUUGAUAUUUAUGCAGCACAUAUGGAUGGACUGACCGGUGAGGUGUAAAUGUGUGCGAUUCUUUGUUGCAUAAGUGCUUUCUUUUGUCUGAUGUAUGCGAGUGACUGAUUGAAUAGGGUGUCUGCAGAAUGUGUUUUGGAUACCUUGUUGUGUAAUUGCAUCCUCUGUGUAUGGUGCAUGGGUGGGUACUUCUCGUAUCCACAGAACUGAUUGCAGAGAGAAAGCUUCUUCUUUUGUUGCUCUUUUUGUGCCUUAAUUCUUAGCUAACAGGGCUUCUGUUGCUUCGAAUUCGGAUGAAUAUGUACCGGUGAAUUUGUACAUAUAGGAAUCCUUCUAGUAUAGAACAUGUGAUACAGUUGCUAUGCGAUUAGUGUUUUUAGACAAGUUUUAUAUAGAGUUAGAAUCUCUCAAACAUUAGGGGAAAAGAAUUUGUUUUUAAAAGUUUUUUGCAUAAUUAACGCCAAGGAAAAUUCCAGUUAGAGCUGGAGCGAUAAAAAGACUCGUCUUAAUCUACCCGGUGAGACAUGAGACAUUUAACAAUAUAAUUAUAAUUCCUGUGAGUGUGAAAGCGUGUGAUAAACGUACAGUAUCAGAACACGUGACAUGUAAUAAAUGAGUAAUUUUUAGCCACGUGUAUUUUAAAACACAUGCUAAAUAGCUAAGGAUGAAUAUUUACCGGUGAUUGAGAAUCAAUCAAAAUGGAGAGAGAGAGAGAGAGAGAGAGAGAGAGAGAGAGAGAGAGACGUUAUGUUGUGAAUUAUACUGUGCCAUAUUUUUUCUUACCUUUCUGCUUGCAAUGCAUUCAAUGCUGUCCUUUGUUAAGCCUGUCUAACAAUAUAAGUAACUGUUGUCUUCAAGAAUAAAAAUGCAGGAAAACACC